rnacentral:rRNA from 1 species
AGAGUUUGAUCCUGGCUCAGAAUCAACGCUGGCGGCGUGCCUAACACAUGCAAGUCGAGCGCGAAAGGGGGGGCAACCCCCCGAGUAGAGCGGCGAACGGGUGAGUAACGCGUGGGUGAUCUACCUUCGAGUGGGGAAUAACAGCGGGAAACUGCUGCUAAUACCGCAUGACAUCUCCGGGUCGUACUGGAGAUCAGAGCCGGGGACCGCAAGGCCUGGCGCUUGAAGAUGAGCCCGCGUCCGAUUAGCUAGUUGGCGGGGUAAUGGCCCACCAAGGCGACGAUCGGUAGCCGGCCUGAGAGGGCGGACGGCCACACUGGGACUGCGACACGGCCCAGACUCCUACGGGAGGCAGCAGUGGGGAAUUUUUCGCAAUGGGGGAAACCCUGACGAAGCAACGCCGCGUGGAGGAUGAAGGCCUUCGGGUCGUAAACUCCUGUCGACCGGGACGAACGUGGUCCGGCCCAAUACGCCGGGCUAUCGACUGUACCGGUAAAGGAAGCUCCGGCUAACUCUGUGCCAGCAGCCGCGGUAAUACAGAGGGAGCAAGCGUUGUUCGGAAUUACUGGGCGUAAAGGGCGCGUAGGCGGUCCGAUAAGUCCCGUGUGAAAUCCCUCGGCUCAACUGAGGAAUGGCUCGGGAAACUGACGGGCUUGAGUUCGGGAGAGGGAAGCGGAAUUCCGGGUGUAGCGGUGAAAUGCGUAGAUAUCCGGA